rnacentral:rRNA from 1 species
AUUGAACGCUGGCGGCAGGCCUAACACAUGCAAGUCGAGCGAGCGGCGGACGGGUGAGUAAUGUCUGGGAAACUGCCUGAUGGAGGGGGAUAACUACUGGAAAAGGUAGCUAAUACCGCAUACCAUCAGAUGUGCCCAGAUGGGAUUAGCUAGUAGGGUGGGUAACGGGUCACCUAGGCGACGAUCCCUAGCGGGUCUGAGAGGAUGACCGGCCAAACUGGAACUGAGACACUGGCCAGACUCCUACGGGAGGCAGCAGUGGGGAAUAUUGGACAAUGGGCGCAAGCCUGAUGCAGCCAUGCCGCGUGUGUGAAGAAGGCCUUCGGGUUGUAAAGCACUUUCAGCGGGGAGGCGUUACCCGCAGAAGAAGCACCGGCUAACUACGUGCCAGCAGCCGCGGUAAUAC